CCUGCCCCUAGAAGCACUGCAGAUGUGGCUGCUGUGUCACAUGUGUGUCAUAGGAGGCAGAGGAGAGAGGCCAUGUGUAUGCUCAGUCUUCGGACCUGUGAACAACUCUGAAUGAUUGACACUCUAACAUU